rnacentral:rRNA from 1 species
AUUGAACGCUGGCGGCAGGCCUAACACAUGCAAGUCGGACGGUAGCACAGAGGAGCUUGCUCCUCGGGUGACGAGUGGCGGACGGGUGAGUAAUGUCUGGGGAUCUGCCCGAUAGAGGGGGAUAACCACUGGAAACGGUGGCUAAUACCGCAUAACGUCGCAAGACCAAAGAGGGGGACCUUCGGGCCUCUCACUAUCGGAUGAACCCAGAUGGGAUUAGCUAGUAGGCGGGGUAACGGCCCACCUAGGCGACGAUCCCUAGCUGGUCUGGGAGGAUGACCAGCCACACUGGAACUGAGACACGGUCCAGACUCCUACGGGAGGCAGCAGUGGGGAAUAUUGCACAAUGGGCGAAAGCCUGAUGCAGCCAUGCCGCGUGUAUGAAGAAGGCCUUCGGGUUGUAAAGUACUUUCAGCGGGGAGGAAGGCGAUGCGGUUAAUAACCGCGUCGAUUGACGUUACCCGCAGAAGAAGCACCGGCUAACUCCGUGCCAGCCGCCGCUGUAA